rnacentral:rRNA from 1 species
CCAGCAGCCGCGGUAAUACAGAGGGUGCAAGCGUUAAUCGGAAUUACUGGGCGUAAAGCGAGCGUAGGUGGCUUGAUAAGUCAGAUGUGAAAGCCCCGGGCUUAACCUGGGAACGGCAUCUGAUACUGUUAGGCUAGAGUAGGUGAGAGGAAGGUAGAAUUCCAGGUGUAGCGGUGAAAUGCGUAGAGAUCUGGAGGAAUACCGAUGGCGAAGGCAGCCUUCUGGCAUCAUACUGACACUGAGGUUCGAAAGCGUGGGUAGCAAACAGGAUUAGAUACCCUGGUAGUCCACGCCGUAAACGAUGUCUACUAGUCGUUGGGUCCCUUGAGGACUUAGUGACGCAGCUAACGCAAUAAGUAGACCGCCUGGGGAGUACGGCCGCAAGGUUAAAACUCAAAUGAAUUGACGGGGGCCCGCACAAGCGGUGGAGCAUGUGGUUUAAUUCGAUGCAACGCGAAGAACCUUACCUGGUCUUGACAUAUCUAGAAUCCUGCAGAGAUGCGGGAGUGCCUUCGGGAAUUAGAAUACAGGUGCUGCAUGGCUGUCGUCAGCUCGUGUCGUGAGAUGUUGGGUUAAGUCCCGCAACGAGCGCAACCCUUGUCCUUAGUUACCAGCGGUUUGGCCGGGAACUCUAAGGAUACUGCCAGUGACAAACUGGAGGAAGGCGGGGACGACGUCAAGUCAUCAUGGCCCUUACGACCAGGGCUACACACGUGCUACAAUGGUAGGUACAGAGGGCAGCUACACAGCGAUGUGAUGCGAAUCUCAAAAAGCCUAUCGUAGUCCAGAUUGGAGUCUGCAACUCGACUCCAUGAAGUAGGAAUCGCUAGUAAUCGCGGAUCAGAAUGCCGCGGUGAAUACGUUCCCGGGCCUUGUACACACCGCCCGUCACACCAUGGGAGUUGAUUGCACCAGAAGUGGUUAGCCUAACCUUUUAGGAAGGCGAUCAC